GUUUUGUCCAUUCUUCAAUUAAUGCUUUCAAAAGAAUCGACUCAAAAGAAUCGAUCACUCGGGAAUGCUCGUAAAAAGAGACGACAACCUUGAAAUAAACAACGCGUUUUAAAAAGCAUAUUUUAAAAUGAAGGAACGAAGGAACGUCACGCAAUAGCAGUCAAAUGGAACUCGAGGUUCUCCUAAAAGACGACAUUUUUGUAGAUUUCUUCAGGUGUUUGGACAAACCCCUCUGUUCCUGCCUUCAGAGAACAAGUGGCUAAUGUGUCCAAAUCCACAUCUUCCUUAGUGGACACCCUGCAGUGAAACGCUGAUGUCAUCAACAGUGUGUGGCAGAUGGACGUGGUCACUCCAGAGGUCAUUUUCACUGUCCAGCAUCUGGUGGCCAAGUCCCUGGAAGUCACGUGGUUCAGGCGUUUGGCUGAUGCAGGUGAUAAAAUGGCAUCAAAGGGAAUGUACAGUGAGACCGAAUGCCAUGAUUUGCCAGAAGUCGAUCAUCAACAUUUUUCUGCACUGCAACACGUCACCAAAGCUCAGGAACAGGUUGAUCGCACGCUGUUCUAUCCAGCUGAUGGACGUAUUCCCUGUUAUCAUCUACUGCUGGAAAAAGU